rnacentral:rRNA from 1 species
UGAAUUGCAGAAUCCCGUGAACCAUCGAGUCUUUGAACGCAAGUUGCGCCUGAAGCCAUUAGGCUGAGGGCACGUCUGCCUGGGCGUCACGCAUCGCGUCACCCCUCCCCCAAUUCUGGUGGAUGGGGUG